rnacentral:rRNA from 1 species
GACGAACGCUGGCGGCGUGCUUAACACAUGCAAGUCGAACGAAGUGGCGAACGGGGGAGUAAUACGUGGGUAACCUGCCCUCCUUUUUGGGAUAAGGCUUGGGAACGGGAUCUACUACCGAAUUAAGGGGGAUGGGCUCGAGGACUAUUAGGUUGUUGUUGGGGUCAUGGCCUACCAAGGCGGUGACGGGGAGCCGGCCUGAGAGGCUGACCGGCCACUGUGGGACGGUGAUACGGCCCAGACUCGGACGGGGGGCAGCAGUGGGGGCUAUUGCACCAUGGGCGAAAGCCUGAUGCAGCGUGUCUGCGUGGGGGCUGAAGGCUUUAGGGUUGUAACCCUCGUUCGCUAUCUAAUGGUUAGGUGGAGAAGAAGCGCCGGCUAACUACGUGCCAGCAGCCGCGGUAAUUC